rnacentral:rRNA from 1 species
GGCUGGCGUUGCAUGCGCUUCGGUGUGUGUAAUGUGCAGUCAUCCUCUUGAGAACUGUUCACACCUUCACUGGCUGUGGGCAGGUAUCAGGAAUUUUACUUUGAAAAAAUUAGAGUGUUUCAGGCAGGCAAUUGCCCGAAUACAUUAGCAUGGAAUAAUGGAAUAGGACUUCUCCCAUUUUGUUGGUUAUUGGUUGAAGUA